UACCUGCUUUUGCUCCCACUUCGAGU
rnacentral:piRNA from 1 species